AUCUGGCUGUCGAGAUGCCUAAAAAGCAUUUCAUAGCAAGGGCCGGGCAAGACCGGUGCCAGCCGCCGCGGUAACACCGGCGGCUCGAGUGGUAACCGUUAUUAUUGGGUCUAAAGGGUCUGUAGCCGGCCGGAUAAGUCUCUUGAGAAAUCUGGCAGCUUAACUGUCAGGCUUUCAGGAGAUACUGUCUGGCUCGAGGCCGGGAGAGGUGAGAGGUACUUCAGGGGUAGGGGUGAAAUCUUGUAAUCCUUGAAGGACCACCAGUGGCGAAGGCGUCUCACCAGAACGGACCUGACGGCAAGGGACGAAAGCUAGGGGCACGAACCGGAUUAGAUACCCGGGUAGUCCUAGCCGUAAACGAUACUCGCUAGGUGUCGGCCACGGUGCGACCGUUGUCGGUGCCGUAG
rnacentral:rRNA from 1 species